rnacentral:rRNA from 1 species
CCUACGGGUGGCAGCAGUGAGGAAUAUUGGUCAAUGGGCGCGAGCCUGAACCAGCCAAGUCGCGUGAGGGAAGACGGUCCUAUGGAUUGUAAACCUCUUUUGUCGGGGAGCAAAAGACGCCACGCGUGGCGUUCCGAGAGUACCCGAAGAAAAAGCAUCGGCUAACUCCGUGCCAGCAGCCGCGGUAAUACGGAGGAUGCGAGCGUUAUCCGGAUUUAUUGGGUUUAAAGGGUGCGCAGGCGGAAGGUCAAGUCAGCGGUAAAAUUGAGAGGCUCAACCUCUUCGAGCCAUUGAAACUGGUGUUCUUGAGUGGGCGAGAAGUAUGCGGAAUGCGUGGUGUAGCGGUGAAAUGCAUAGAUAUCACGCAGAACUCCGAUUGCGAAGGCAGCAUACCGGCGCCCUACUGACGCUGAGGCACGAAAGCGUGGGUAUCGAACAGGAUUAGAUACCCUAGUAGUC